GACGAACGCUGGCGGCGUGCUUAACACAUGCAAGUCGAACGGAAAGGCCCUGCUUUUGUGGGGUGCUCGAGUGGCGAACGGGUGAGUAACACGUGAGUAACCUGCCCUUGACUUUGGGAUAACUUCAGGAAACUGGGGCUAAUACCGGAUAGGAGCUCCUGCUGCUUGGUGGGGGUUGGAAAGUUUCGGCGGUUGGGGAUGGACUCGCGGCUUAUCAGCUUGUUGGUGGGGUAGUGGCUUACCAAGGCUUUGACGGGUAGCCGGCCUGAGCGGGUGACCGGCCACAUUGGGACUGAGAUACGGCCCAGACUCCUACGGGAGGCAGCAGUGCGGAAUAUUGCACAAUGGGCUGAAGCCUGAUGCAGCAACGCCGCGUGCGGGAUGACGGCCUUCGUGUUGUAAACCGCUUUCGCCUGUGACGAAGCGUGAGUGACGGUAAUGGGUAAAGAAGCACCGGCUAACUACGUG
rnacentral:rRNA from 1 species